AAACUUGAAGUGUUUACGGUCUGGGGUAGAUGUCCAACAGGGAGCAGGGACUAUCAAUCUGGAACUCAGAGACGAAACCAUGGAGUGACAGGUGCAGGUUAAGAGCCUGUUAGGUCCAAAAUGGUGCCCCGGAAAUUCAAGUUAAGUCAAGCCCGUGUUGGAAGACCACCAGCUCCUGCUCGGUGAUUAACUUUGAGGAACCUCGGACAAUAUCCUUCUCAGAGUUAAAGUCCAUGAUUGAAAAGUGGCGUAAAAUUUUAUCUGGCUCUGUGCCGGGCCCUGCCAAGCUCUUCUCAAACUCGAUCAGCUGUUGUGUCAGCUUCGAGUCCAGGAGUUCUCCAAACAAUCCAAAGAAGUUUCCGGGAUCCUGGCAAGGCUGCCUUCCUGGGGCAGAGACAUGGUUUCCUCCACCCGUGUGUCAGGACAUAAUUUCACAAACCGGGGUAUCUACUUCACCAUUAACAAUGCAGUCAUCUUGAUUUCCAGAACUUACUGACUCAUCCACAGUCCUCAGGGGCCCCAACAGCUCUACAAAACCUUCUGGAAAAAUGCCUCUUCGGCCCUCUAACUCCCCUUCAAACCAGCCUGGUUCAGGAACUCCAAUAAUGGUGAUCACAUCCCCUUCCCUGAAGUCCAGCUCUUCAUCCAGCUGAGCAGAAAGCCCCAUUAGGGCCCGGGCUUGUCCCAUGGAAUAUUCCGGAAUCUGAAACAGGGCGCUCUGGGAGUGCCACUGCCGGCUCUGUGAGGAGAGGCAGAGCUCGCGGACACAUGAAGACGGGAAGAAGCCCCGUGCGCCCCAGCAACUUCGGCCCUGCAGCCAGCCUGCAGUGGGAAUGCCAUCGAGAAUCACCAGGUCACCUAAAGAAAAGAGGAGCAGAGAUGGUGACCUCAGUCAUCACCCAGCAGAACAUUAUCACGACUAAUAGUGCAACCUCUCAUUUUAAACAGCUACCAAAUUCAAGGAAAUACACCUAGAGCUUUAGGAGCAUGAACAAUUUUGACAAUUUAUUGAAUUGGAGCAGUUCUAUAAACCUGUAGUUUUCAGAGUGUUCCAUGGAACCCUACGGGUGGGUCUCCAAGAUCCUAGCAGAGAAUCUGUGAGGUCAAAACCAUUCUCAUAAUAACACUAAGACUUUAUCUACAUAUUUUACUCUGCUGACUUUUGUAAUCUCUGUGAAAAAGCAAUGGUGAUUAAAACUGCUGGCCAGCUAGGUGCGGUGGCUUACACCAGAAAUCCGAGCACUUUGGGAGGCCAAGGCAGGAGGAUCGCUUGAGACCAGGAGUUCAAAACCAGCCUGGGCAACAUGUCAAGACCUUGUCUCUACAAUAAAUUUAAAAAUUAGCUGUGCAUUGUGGCUCAUGCCUGUAGUCCCAGCUAUUCAGGAGGCUGAGGUGGGAGGAUAGCUUGAACCCAGGAGGUCAAGGCUGCAGUAAGCUGUGAUUUCACCACUACACUCCAGUCUGGGUGACAGAGCAACACUUGUCUCAAAAAUAAAAAUAAAAUGGCUGGGCGCGAUGGCUCAUGCCUGUAAUCCCAGCACUUUGGGAGGCCAAGGCAGGCGGAUCACUUGAGGUCAGGAGUUCGAGAGCAGCCUGGUCAACAUGGUGAAACCCCAUCUCUACUAAAAAUACAAAAAUUAGCUGAGCAUGGUGGCACGUGCCUGUAGUCCCAGCUAUUCGGGAGGCUGAGGCAGAAAUUAAACUCAGGAGGCAGAGGUCACAGUGAGCCGAGAUCGCACCACUGCACUCCAGCUUGGGCAACAGAGCAAGACUCCAUCUCAAAAAAAUAAUUAAUUAAUUAAAAACUGCUGGCAAUUCAUAAGCAAAGGCAGUAGCCACAAAUCACAUGAAUAGUCACUGUAUGGUCAUCGUAUUCUUCACAACCAUGUACUCACAGUUUUUAAAAAAGCCAUUUUCAGUUAAGAAGCAAUACAAAUUAUGCACUGUGCUAAAUCUCAACCCUUAAGAACAAUUCUUUUGUAAUAUUCUGUGUGACAAUAUAGGAAUUACACAUAAAGCACUUUUACUGCUGAG
rnacentral:antisense_RNA from 1 species